rnacentral:siRNA from 1 species
CUAUGGGUCCAAACCAGGCUGC